AUACUCUGGUUUCUUUUCAGCUCGUACAAAUCUUUCGCCUUUUACUAAAGAUUUCUGUGGAGAAGGGGGGAAAAAUAUGCAAAUAUAUCCUGUGACUAUAUCCCAACAAAUGUG
ensembl:snRNA U5 U5 spliceosomal RNA